rnacentral:rRNA from 1 species
AGCGAACGCUGGCGGCAGGCCUAACACAUGCAAGUCGAACGGUGAAAGCGGAGCUUGCUCCGCUGGAUCAGUGGCGAACGGGUGAGUAACACGUGGGCAACCUGCCCCUCACUUCGGGAUAACUCCGGGAAACCGGGGCUAAUACCGGAUAUGACCUCCUUGGGCAUCCUUGGAGGUGGAAAGUUUUUCGGUGGGGGAUGGGCCCGCGGCCUAUCAGCUUGUUGGUGAGGUAGUGGCUCACCAAGGCGACGACGGGUAGCCGGCCUGAGAGGGGGAGCGGCCACACUGGGACUGGGACACGGCCCAGACUCCUACGGGAGGCAGGAGUGGGGAAUAUUGCGCAAUGGGCGAAAGCCUGACGCAGCAACGCCGCGUGCGGGAUGACGGCCUUCGGGUUGUAAACCGCUUUCAGCAGGGAAGAAGCCGCAAGGUGACGGUACCUGCAGAAGAAGCACCGGCUAACUACGUACCAGCAGCCGCCGUAA